rnacentral:lncRNA from 10 species
UUCAACAUCCUGGACACCAGAAUUCUCCCAGCCUUCUUACAUGAGCCUAAAUCCUCCCUUCAAACAGAAGAAGGAACGGAGCUGCGGUGAUUUGAAAGGAAGAUCCAUAGCUCUCUCUUUGUUGGUGGAAGGCAAGAAACAGAAACAGCUGCUUCUACUCUGCUGCUGACGUGACCUCCUUCCCCUUUCAUUCCCUUGCAGACUGGUCUUUUUGGUUUUCUCCAGCCAUUACUGGUGUGCGUCACUGGGGCCUCCCUUCUUCCAGCACAUUGGUCUCACUGCCCUCAUCUGUUCUCUAUCAUCAAAGCUUGUCUGACCCUGACCCUCAGCCUGGGUGGAGAGUAGGGACCCCCACACCUGCCCACUGUACUUGUUGACUAGUCAGACCCAAAGUGACAAGCCUGAAACUGCGUCUGCAGCAUGAGGCAUGGACAGCCAUGACUCAGCAUCCAGAAUCAAUGAGGAAGCAGUUACUUCAUGUCUCCAUACGGGACCUGAAAACACUACCCCUGAAACAGUACAUGUUAUUUUUUAAAUGUUAGCAUUUUAAAUGCAAAACUUUGUAGUGAUCAUACACAUUUCUCACACAAUGUGUUGGUCUGAAUUCAAUCUUUUCUUGAUGAGUCGAAUGAUGUGGUAAUUUGACACAUUGAUGGCCCCCAAUAAAUGUCACCUGCUG